GGCUGUGAUUCUGUGCUGAACUGGUCACACCAUCCGGUCCAGCUGCUUCUCCUGCCUCCAGCAGCAGACGCACGUUUUCCCAGAGGUCCAUGCAGCCCAGCGGUGUCCUGAAGUUACCAAGGCUGCGGGAUGUAUUGUGACAGACUUUAAAUGUGAGGAAGAGGAGCCCUCAUCACCCAUCACGUCUGUGAGAUGAAAGGCCCCGAAAGCAGCCAGCCACCCUGCUGGACACAGCUCAGCUGUUAUAAGAAGUGUUUGACAGGAGUGGCAGGUUGUCAGAUGCAAAUUGAUCCAGUCUUUUCUACACUUUUCAACAUCAGCCCGAAGAAAAACAACGCCUCCCACAAGGUAACACUGUUUGUCUUCGAUACGUAGAAAUCAAUCUGUCCUGCAUUACU